rnacentral:misc_RNA from 1 species
UUUCCGUAGGUGAACCUGCGGAAGGAUCAUUAACGAGUUAGGGUCUUCUAGGCCCGACCUCCCAACCCUUUGUUUACUGAACCAUUGUUGCCUCGGUGGGUCCGUCUUACGACCGCCAGGGGAUCGCUGCGAGGCGCCCCCUGGCCAGCGCCCACCGAUAGCCCAACCUUUAAAACCCUUUGUGAAUCGUGUCUUAUGUCUAAAUUUAUGAUUAAACAAUCAAAACAAAACUUUCAACAACGGAUCUCUUGGUUCUG